UACGUAGGGGGCAAGCGUUGUCCGGAAUCAUUGGGCGUAAAGCGCGUGUAGGCGGCCUGGUAAGUCCGUUCUGAAAGCCCGGGGCUCAACCCCGGGAGGCGGAUGGAUACUGUCAGGCUCGAGUCCGGAAGAGGCAAGUGGAAUUCCCGGUGUAGCGGUGAAAUGCGCAGAUAUCAGGAAGAACACCCGUGGCUAAGGCGGUUCUCUAGUACGGUACUGACGCUGAGACGCGAAAGCGUGGGGAGCGAACAGG
rnacentral:rRNA from 1 species